UACUUCUGACCCAAGCUCACACCUAUAAUUUAGUUCCUGACUCUUCUGAUGUAGAAAAGUCUAGACGAAUUUUGAUGGGAAAUUAAAAUGGUUUCAUUGGUGGGAUAGGACCACAAUACCCGUAUGAAGAUGAAAUAGUCAUUUGGGAGCAAUGUUGUGUAAAAUAGAACACAGAGGAACAUCCAUCUGAUUAAAUGUUAUAAUAAUGAGUGGGGCAGAUUAAAAAUCGGGGUUUCCAGGUUUUCAAAUUUUAAAACAGAGUGAAAUGCUAGGAAUACAAUGUUUGACUUUUCAAAUGCGUGCUGCAAAACUUCCUGUGUGGUUGAGUCUGGUUGCACUCACAAAACUGAGGAGAGGCGUAAGGAGAAAAAGAAGGAAAGCAUUCAAUUGUCAACAAUGCUUUGCUCUGGGUGAUGGAGAAGUUGGUGAUUUUACUUUUCCUGCAUUUCUGUUGAUGGGACAGUUUUCUGUUGAAAACAUUGUUGCUUUCAUCAUUCCCCAAAGGAACUGUUUUUAAAACUGCAGUUUGAAAAUCAUUUAUGAGGGAAGACAGCCAAGGAAGGAUUCCUGUUUGGCAAGGAAUCAGGCAGGCUGGCCCUCAGCAGCCUUUUGGAGACUUUUUUUUCCCCCCCCUUUUACCCAAAUGUCAAAUGUCAGGCUUCCACACAGUGUGACAGAACCUAAAACGAUCAACUUCCCCAAUGCCGGGCGACAAAUGUCAACUCCUCCCCACUCCCAACCAAAGGCCUGUUGUAUGUUCUUAACCCUCAAAGAGAAAACACAGAACUCAGCGGGCUGGGAUAUGAGCUGGCAAGAGAGGGCUGACCCUGAACGAGUUAUGUGACAUAUAAAGAGAAGAAGGUCGCUCCUCUCCCUCCUCCUGAAGCCCCUCCUUUCCCCUAACAUGGCAGGAAGCAACGCAGCCUCAUGAUUAAGCCUGUGAACUCUGCCUUCGAACACACCCGUAUGGAAUCCCUGCUCUCACUGAACAGCUCUGGGGCUUCUGUGAACUCUGGAAGCAGCCAAAAUAGGGGAAGAACCAAUCUGGAGAGGAUAGCCUUCUGUGUGGACCCAGGGGCUUUGGAGACAAAGCUGCUUUGCGCCCUCAUAACUGCCUGGCCCCAGAGAACCCAUGGAGGACCACCAGGCUUACAGUCACCCAUCGUCGCUCUGGGAAACACCAGUGACUGUCUCUGCCUUACUAGCCUGUUAAUUUCCAGUUGGCCACGAUGUGUUCACUGAUGGCAUGAGGAAGGUCUAGCAUGCAGAGCCGUAUUUCUACUCCCCGUGCGGACCCCCUUUUAAGAAGGCUUCAAAAGGGACAUGCAGAGGAUGCUUAAAACCCACCCUUAUUCUUACCAUUCUGCAAAGCGCAUGCCCUGCGUCUGCGGCUUGGGCAUGCCUCCCCUCCCCUGGAUGAUGAAUUCACGAGGGACCUCAUGGGCUGCUGAGAACAAGCACGCUUUUGAAUGAACUCUUUUACGGGUAUCAGUC